GAAUGUGAGACAAAAUGUAUAAUCUUCUAAGAUGAAUGGAUACACAUGGAAAGGAAAAUGGUAUCCAGCCAAGGAAGUGUGGGUGUGCUUCAGAAUGAGAUAUUCCCAAACAAGGAUGGUGUUUCAGAAGGGCUCUAGCUACUGUGCCACCAAGAUGCCUCAAAAGAUGACAUGGCACUGA
rnacentral:lncRNA from 1 species